rnacentral:rRNA from 1 species
UACGUAGGGUGCAAGCGUUAUCCGGAAUUAUUGGGCGUAAAGAGCUCGUAGGCGGUCUGUCGCGUCUGCUGUGAAAACCCGAGGCUCAACCUCGGGCCUGCAGUGGGUACGGGCAGACUAGAGUGCGGUAGGGGAGAUUGGAAUUCCUGGUGUAGCGGUGGAAUGCGCAGAUAUCAGGAGGAACACCGGUGGCGAAGGCGGCUUUCUGGACAGAUACCGACGCUGAGGCACGAAAGCUAGGGGAGCAAACAGG